rnacentral:rRNA from 1 species
GACGUAGGGCGCGAGCGUUGUCCGGAUUUAUUGGGCGUUAAAGAGCUCGUAGGCGGCUUGUUGCGUCGACCGUGAAAACCCGUGGCUCAACUGCGGGCUUGCGGUCGAUACGGGCAGGCUAGAGUUCGGUAGGGGAGACUGGAAUUCCUGGUGUAGCGGUGAAAUGCGCAGAUAUCAGGAGGAACACCGGUGGCGAAGGCGGGUCUCUGGGCCGAUACUGACGCUGAGGAGCGAAAGCGUGGGGAGCGAACAGG